rnacentral:rRNA from 1 species
ACGCUGGCGGCGUGCCUAACACAUGCAAGUCGAACGCGAAAGGGGCUUCGGCCCUGAGUAGAGUGGCAAACGGGUGAGUAACGCGUGGGUGACCUACCUUCGAGUGGGGGAUAACGUUCCGAAAGGAGCGCUAAUACCGCAUGAAGUUCCGGAUUUGAACAUCUGGAAACCAAAGCCGGGGAUCGCAAGACCUGGCGCUUGGAGAGGGGCCCGCGUCUGAUUAGCUAGUUGGCGGGGUAACGGCCCACCAAGGCGACGAUCAGUAGCCGGCCUGAGAGGGCGGACGGCCACACUGGGACUGAGACACGGCCCAGACUCCUACGGGAGGCAGCAGUGGGGAAUUGUUCGCAAUGGGCGCAAGCCUGACGACGCAACGCCGCGUGGGGGAUGAAGGUCUUCGGAUUGUAAACCCCUGUCGAGCGGGACGAAUGGCUCGCGGUCUAACACACCGCGGGAAUGACGGUACCGCUAAAGGAAGCCACGGCUAACUCUGUGCCAGCAGCCGCGGUAAUACAGAGGUGGCAAGCGUUGUUCGGAAUUACUGGGCGUAAAGGGCGCGUAGGCGGCCUUCUAAGUCAGACGUGAAAUCCCCCGGCUUAACCUGGGAACUGCGUCUGAUACUGGAAGGCUUGAGUGCGGGAGA